UUUUUGCUAUCAUUUUUAUUUUUUAUUUAUUUACAAGCAAAUUGUUGGUAAGCAUUUCUUUUGUGUUUAUGGCUUCCCAUGGGAUGAUAAGGAGCACAUGCCCUCUAUCAUGAACACAUUAAUUCUAUCUUCUUCAUUUCACAUUGGUUUCCUUUGUCUCAAAUGUGACUUUUUUUCCUGAAUUGUGCCAGGCCUUGUGGAUCAGGCAUCAUUGAAGUAGCUGAGUUCAUACAUCAACCUCAUUCUCAACUUGUUCCCUGAAAGGCUGUCAAAUCAUGCAUACCCCAAAAGCCUAAUGUUUUGGGUGGGGGGAUUCAGAGCUUAGCAUUUCUUGCUUUCAACUUUAUAAUGCUUGACUUCAAUUGUCAAUGUCGAUGUCAAUAUAAGAACACGGUGGGAAACUAGCAUGGUAAUGCAUCAGAUUCAGUGCUAGCACUUUAAAGCUAAUGUUAUGAUUGGUCCACCUACAUCGACUAUUGAUGGAAGGAGUUUGUUGCAGUGAUAUGAUAUUGGAUCUUCUUUGAACUACCAACUAGGGGGUGAACGACGAGAUGUAGUUUCUAUAAUUUAUGUAAUUCAGGUCAAUCUCAAAACUUGACAUUAAUGUGUAAUUUGUGUAACUAA